GACGGAGGGGGCAAGCGUUGUUCGGAAUUACUGGGCGUAAAGCGUACGUAGGCGGCGGAUUAAGUCGAAUGUUAAAGCCUGAGGCUCAACCUCAGAGAUGCACUCGAUACUGGUCUGCUAGAGGGUGAUAGAGGAAAGCGGAAUUCCCAGUGUAGCGGUGAAAUGCGUAGAUAUUGGGAGGAACAUCAGUAGCGAAGGCGGCUUUCUGGGUCACACCUGACGCUGAGGUACGAAAGCGUGGGGAGCAAACGGG
rnacentral:rRNA from 1 species